AUGGCAGGCACAGAGCCUGCUAAGAUGCAAUUAGCUUGACUCAAGGAGUCUUCGGUUGGCUUCUCUGCUUAAUUGGGAGAAUGCAACCAAGAAACACAGAGGUUUGGUGCUCCUUCUGUCUCUGAGGACAGGCACAGAAAGGCUUCUGUUGCAAAGAAGGAAAACAGGCCCGUCAGCGAUGCAGAAGUUGUAUCGUCUGGAAGUACAAUGGGAUCAGACCCCGCUCCAAAAUAUAAGCACGGUACAGGGCGCCUGGGUGGCUCAGUCUGUUAAUCUUCCGACUUCAGCUCAGGUCAUGAUCUCACGGCUGGCUGGCCCGCUAAAAGACCUAACAGAGAUCAAAGACUGACACGUGACGUCACCGCCACGGGACGCCACACUUCUGAAACAGAAUAUGUUCCAUAGGCCGUAGAAUAUUUUCUUCCAUAUGCAGAUUCUUUAAUGCCUAGGUAAGCUUCACGGGGGGAAGGACCUAGCCCUCGGUCGCACGGUGCGGCAGAGUCAGGGCCCUGGUGUUCAGGCCCCAGCUCCGGCUCUGGGCUCAUUAAUCUCCCAGGAAGGAUACCUGAGCAGCAGUUCCUUCGUCAGAGCUGACUUCCCACCUCUCAGAUCUGCUCGGUCCUCCACCCCACCCUUCCUCCCCACCACUCGCCCUGCCGGAGGGCUCACUCCUAUAAAGUUCUCUUAAAAAUCUUUUAUGACUCUUCAGUCCAGGCUCCCAGUCUACCCUGAGCCAUAUGUGGGUUUGUUAAUCCCUUAAAAGUUCUACUUGGGGCACACCUUAGGGACGCAGUCCCAGAUACACAGGGGAGCCCCGGCUCUCACGCUGGGACAAUCCCGUAGACUGUCCACUUUGUGAGGGACAGAGGUCAGCAGACAGCUGGAAGCAGGCAAGGAAGCAAACACAUGGAGGGCACCUGCUGUUGCUGAAGCCCACGCUGUGUACUUUCAUAUCUGAAACCUCGGUUCAAAGCUGACUUCGGGUUAACAACUGCCUGGGGCAAUUCACUCAAAUUUUCCAAGCCUCAGUUUCCGCAUGUGCCAAAUGGGACAGUGGUGCUGACCUAUUCCUGAAGGGGAAAUGCAACCCCCUAGCGGCUUUGAGAGCCUAAGGGUUGAAUAUUCCCUCUUAUCCGCUCAGAUCUGGGAGAGACUCUUACAGGGAACAUAUAAUUCUUCUGUUAAUCUGCUGACUGAAUGCUCCCACAAGUGAGGUGUCGGGGACGAGCUCUGGAUCUUGAGUUAGGACAAAAGCCAGUUGCCAACAUGGGAAGGCUGUUGGGUCAGAAGGUAAAAUUGAUUCCAAAGAGAGCGGCCCCCUUUUGUACCUGGGAAGGGAUGAUCAGGGCGUUGAGUGUUUGGAAAGGCUGGCGAGACAGGGGAAAUAUCCCUCAAGCCUCCUCCUUCCUCGCAGCCAGGCCCUCUGGAUGGGUCAUUUGUUCCUGGGAGGCGUCAGCUGUCAGGGAAAGAACCCCGACUUUGCAGUUAGCCAGACCCCACUCCUUAACAGCUGGGUGUCCAGGGGCAAGUCACUUAAAUCUCAGCUUCCCCUGAGACAUGCAAGAAUGUUCAUAUCGCUUUCCUCAGAGGUAAAUGACCAGGCACGCAGGGAACACUGCGUAAACGCUGCCUCCCUCUGUAUCCGGCCAGAAAAUACCCUUUCUGCCCCAGGACUGCCACCCAACCCCCAGGCACAGGUCAGUCAAGUCCCCAUAAAAUCUAGCUUCUCUGAGCCCAGCUUCAGAAAUUACAGCGAGCGGAUUCGUCACGUUGUUUGAAUUAUGGCAAUAUGAAAAUACAGAAAACCCACCGGGAGCCAGCCUUUUCCCAUAUAUAAAACAGGGUUAUGAUCCCAUAUAAACUUUUAAAAGAGAAUACUUUAGUUUAUUUCUUCAUGCGUAAGAUUGGGCAAGGAAAAGAGGGGACAAGGAAAGCAAAAAAGAACACGCUGGCAGGCAACUGAAUUCGCGCCGACACCCCUGGCUGUUCGUCCCUCCGUUCCCUUUUCCUCGUCCUCCCUUUUCACCUUCCUGUCGUCCCGGAACCGGUGCGCAGGGUGCAGCGGGCCGCGGCUUUUCAGGGGCUUCAGAGCCCAGUUCCCUCCUUAGACCCCACGGUCCAUCCUCUCCUCUCCAUCUCCACUCCAUCCCUGCCACCAGCAUCCCUCUCCUGGACCACUGACCACCUUGCAAUGACUUCCCCAGGUCUGUUCAGUCUGAAGCCAAGAUGAUGGAUGGGGGUGGGGUAGCAAGGCAGGGGACGUAGAUCUGAGCACGUUCAUCCCUCUAGAAGUUCUUCAGAGACCCCUCAGUGCCAGCUCCCCAACUUCCAGGGCUGUGUCUCCAGCUUCUUCUCCUCCUCUUUCCCUCUGUUUGCCUUGAGCGCAUCUCUCUCUUCUCAACUUCCCCUCCUCUGAGCAUACUUCUACUCUUCCUUACGACUCCGUUUAUAUAAAGCUUCCUCUAGGAAUAUUUCAGCGUGAUUCUAGAUCUGAUGAACCUGUUUUCACUUCCAGGCUGUGAGCUCCACAGGGGCAAUGACGCAAAGUAGUUUGCUCGUCAUUCUGUCUCCGGUAUUAAUAAAGCGCAGUCUUACGUGGUGGCCACUCAGAAAAUAGCUACCACCUGCAGACUUUAGUCCCAGUCUGGGUUCCUCCACCACGGAUGCCCAAAGUCACUCCCACUGAAAUGGUAAACUCGCCAACCGUUCUCAUCUGUGUGACGGGGAUAAAGACACCUCCUUUGUGGUAUUGUUUUAAGAAUCAGAGACGAGUUCGUUUGGCAUACAGCACCCAGUUAGGGGUUUCACUCACUGAGUGCCUGCUCUCGUUACAAGGUUUGCAGAAGAAAACUCGUUUCUAGUGCCGUGACCAUCAGUCACGAUGAAUUAUUCACUACUGGCUAAUGCCCACCGGAGAGGCACAAUAGUAAAUUCCUCGAGUGGGGUUCUGUUUACAGUUGGAAGGGAAGCGAUAUCAGUUGUUAGUUUUCAAACGAGACCUCCUCUUGGAUGGCAGCACAUGAAAGAGUCGCCUGGGCGUGGGUCCAAGGUUCUGUAUGCAACACAUGUGGUUAUUCAAAUACAAUUUCAUUUACUCCUGACCCCACCUGUCAAAAGCCCGCAUCCAAUUAAAAAAGCACAAAUGGCUGGUCUUUAUGGCAAAGGUGUAAAGAAAAGGCUAAUUGUGGGACCGACGAAUCCUUCUGUUAGUUCUCUUCCUUCUGUGCUCACACGUUCGUCCAUGGCGUAGGGCACAGCCGACUUGGCCAAGGCUCAGAGUCCCCUCAGUCUCCUUACCCAAACCCCCUCGAUUUGGGGGUUGGGGCAAAGCGUUUGAGAUGGUGUCUGAAGGGAUUCUUGGCAAAGUGGGCUGGCAGGGGACUCAGAGGCUAGGAGAUUAAAAACAAGCCAAAAGAGCAUGAGAAGAUCCCUUCCCAAUGGUAUGCCGUGUCGUCGUCUAAACCGGGUGUCCACAUAGGUUACGUCGUGUGAUCUUUAUGCCAGACUCUGAUAACUGUAUGAGCUGGGAUUGUCCAACUCAUUUUGCAGAUGAGGAACGGGGGCUCGGAAGUUUGCCCCAAGUUGACCGGCUAGUUGAUGGCACUGGCAAGACUUAACAUUGCUCGACUCAAAGCCCUCUUUUCGUCCUGCAUCUACUUCCUCCAGGCAGGCUGAGUCCUGAGACCCUGCUCUUAUCCCUGCCUCCUCUCUCAGUCUGGAGGUCUGAGGAGGGGGGCAUGCCCUAUACAUCCCCUCGCCCGCCCGGCAGUCUCAGCCCGGUGAAGCCUGCCCUGGCCACCUCCCCAGGCAGAGCUCAACACGCCUCCCGUGCUUACGUGUCCAAUGUGCUUACGUGUAACAAGUAGGCGCGAUGCAAUGUGCUUUGAGCCACAGGGAAAUCUCAUCUCUUUUUCAGGCUUCUGCUUAACUACGUGGUGUUAAGAGAGAGUGGUAGAUGGGGGAGCGUCUAGCAAUAAUUGAAUAGCUUCUAGAUAUCUUACUUCUCAUAACCGCACAAAGUGCAUAUUCUUAUCCCUGCUCUGUGGGUAAUGCAUUGCAUUACGGUAAAAAGCAGAUCCUGUCUGCACAGGGAAAGGGGGAGAUCCCAGAACAUCUAUGGAGGGCCCGAUAUGUGCUAGUUCUUCACGCAUUUGCUAGUACUUGUUGAAUACUCAGAUACCCUACAGAGGAAAGGCUGGGUGAUCCCAUUUCACAGAUGAGGAAACCAAAGUUUAGCCAAGUGAGGUGAUAAGUUCAUCCUGGACAUAAGUAGUUGAGUCCAAAGCCCCAAAUUGGGUCCAUACUGCGAUUUCAAGAGACUGCCCCAAACCAGAACUUGUCGCCUGUCUGAUGAGAGGGUGUCAGUCCAGGUCAGAGCUGUCUGACAGGCAGGGAUGAAGUGGAAACAGACUGCGAAAAAGAAGGAAGGGAAUAUGAGGUGUCAAACAAAUAAGAAAUAAUUGGGAUACAAUUAUAAGGAAAAUAUAGGAAAAAUUCCAGGAAGCCAAACUCUCAUAGAGCUGUUUGCAACGGAAGUGGUGGGAAAGUCGCGCUCUGGCCUGAAAACCCACAAGUUUUGGAGGAAAAUGUCACAUUGAAUUACAGAAACUCUCUGAAGAAAAGGGUCUUUCAUUUAUGUAAGCGGUCGGUUCACGCUCAUCAAGCCUCUACCAGGAGCCAACACUAUCGUUGGCACAGCAAAUUUGAAGUUGAACAAAACUCAGUUCCUGCCCUCCGGCCACACAUUAUUGAAAGGUUAUGGGGAGUAAGGACACGCGUGACUGUGGGCAGCCGUGCACAUACUGAUAAAGCCUACAGCUUUGGAAGGUGCCGCGUCCGAGGGUUCAUAAAGGACAGAGCAACUCUGCCUGGAGAAAUCGCAGAAGGCUUCAUAGAGGAGGCGAUGUGAGCAGGACCUCAAAGGAGGAGUAAGCAUUCUCCAAAUGGAGAUGUGGGCAGAGCCCGUCACAGGCGGAAGGAAGGGCCUGGCAAAGGCACAAAAGCAAGAAAGGGCACGGCAGACUCAGGGACAGGUGGGCAGCCCUACAGGAAGUGCAUGAAAAAAUAGAUAAUGUUUCCGUUCUGGCUCUUAAAUGCCUCUAUCCCCAUGCCCUGCGCUUGGAACACAGGAUACAGAUCACAGGCCGUCCCGGCUGAGACGGGUAGACAAAUAAAAAUGGCGGCCCAAUAUAUACCGGGGAAUUAAGCGCUUUGCUGCCAACAGAUUUCCAUCUGGCCCUUCAUCUCACCCGACGUUUCAAUCAGUGUCAUCGCAAGCAAGCUGUUAGGAUGCAGCGAGGGGAUGCAGUAAUCCCAGUCUCCUAGGAUUGCUGCCAGGAUUAAACUGGACCAUGUUGUGGUGGUAUUACGCAAGGUAGGUCUUUCUGAGCUUGAUAGAGGCCAAACAUGACCGACUUUGUCUAUCUGCUGACGGUUUCUUCCCGACCUUCAGAAGCACCCAGCGUCGUUUUUGGAGGGGGCCUCAGAGAUCCUCUGGUCCAGCUUCUCAGGUUUGGGGAGUGGGCCCGAUCACCGUGCGAUCUUGGGCAAGACGCGCAACCCUAACAGCGGGUGACCUCGUGCCUAAGGGGUAAUGUGUGACGUGAACGUGUGGUGUGAAUCACGUGGCGACCCCUAAUCGCCAUGCUGGCCUCUCACAAGGCACCAGCCCCGUCCCGUUUUCCCCACGCCGACUUGUUCCUCUCUCCCAACAAUCUCGUGAGGCAGCAGCUGUGGUCAUUUCCAUGUUACCGCUGAAGAUGUGGCUCCAGAACAGGGCCCUCCUCCAUCAUGCCACGUUACGGCUACGCUCUUACCACUGUUCCAGAGCUCUGAGCAACGCUAGAUAAGACCUGGGAGCUACACAUCUCCUACACGACCUGCACAAUGAAAGCCCUAAAGGGCUGCUGUGUCACGCUGUUAUGAAGCAUAAACACGCACGACGUAUAUAAACUACGUAACAAGCGACCUGGAGAACUUACUAUAAAACAUUACCUCAGCUACCUUGGUCUAUUUGCUUCUCGCUUGUUGCUGCUGUCGACGUGAGCAGAUCCCUUGUGGCCAAGUUGCCGGGAAGGACUGGCCACCUGGCAGGGGCUUUCUGGUCAAUGGUCUUGGCCUCCAAGGUGCACUCAUUGGCUUGGCCUCAGGAAGGGGCAGCUCGACCGCCCUUCUUAUUAUGUUCUCCUUCUGGCUGUCCUCACUCUUGGUCACCCCCCGGAAGGAGGGCAGCUCAGCUCGGGGCCAGCAGGGCCUCAGGGUCUCAGUGGUUUCAAGACUGCCCCAAAUUCAUUCUGUGUCUAUCUUCCCCCCAGACACCCUCUCUGGAGCUCAUUUUCUUCUUAGGAUAUCUCAACCUGAUUUUGCGAAAACCCCCAUUACAAAUAGCCCUGCAAGAAAUAUUGGGAAAAGUUCUGCUUAGGAGUUAGGAAAUCAGGCCCUGAGGCAGGGCUGGGCCACUGACUCCCUGGGGUUCCUGGGAAAGUCACUGCUCCUCCACAGGCCUCGUUUUCUCUUCUGUAAAAUGAGGAAGCUGGAUCAAUGAUUUGAAAGUUUCUUUCUGGAUUGAACAUUUACAAUGUACAUCCAUCUACUUGCAGUCAUAAACUAAGUAUACUCUGCAAUGUUUAGCAGAUUAAAUUAAAGUAGAUCAUGUCAUCUGACAGAACAGUGACCCUCUCUGCCCAUGCCAAGCCCUCCCCACUAUGCUUCCCAGGCCUUUCUGGUGAUACUUUUGGUGGAUUUAAAAAUAGAUCUACAAAUUCCUUGACAUUCCUCCCUUCAGUAGUUGCAGCCUGAUUCCCCUGCCUUGUGUGACUUCCAAAAUUGGGUCAUGAAAGGGACCACAGAUUCUUCCUUGUUCUUGCUGUUGGGUUGCUUGCGCUGGAGGAAGCCAGCCGCCAUGUUGUGAGGGUAUUCAAGUCAUCCUAUGAGAAGGUCUGUUUGGUGAGAAACUGAGGCCCCUGCCAACAACAGCUACGCAAGUGAUCUACCUUGGAAGUAGAUUCUCCAGGCUCAGUGACACCUUCAUAUGAUUAGAGCCCCAGUUGGUACCUUGACUGAAGCAUUUUAAGACUCUGCCGGGACCACCCAGCUAAGUUGCUCCUGGAUUACUGACUUCCAGAAACUGCAUGGGAUGAUAAACAUUUAUUGUUUUGAGCUCUGAAAUCUUGGAGCAACUUGUUACACGGCAAUAGAUAACCAAUACGGUAGUGGUGGUCGCCAUUGUUAGAAAUGGUGGUGGUGGGGUAACCUAUCACCCUGCCCCUGUGUCACUACAAAUUUCUUGUCUAGAGAUUGAUUGAAUGAUUAAUGUCUGUCCUUGGUCCAGGAAGGAUUUCAAAAGGCAUUAUCUGGGGCUCCCUAGCUUCCACUCCCAGGCUUCGAUCCGAAUGUGGGAAAUCGUUCUGUCCCAGGACCAGGAAGUGUAAAUGACUCUUUCUUGAAACAUACGAAUCUUGACGACAGUUUCCUCUCCGAGCUCAUUCCCUAGACUAGUAACAGCUUCUCCUCCCCCAUCUCCCCUACCUUGACACACACUGGUCUUUGUGACCCCAAGAGAGCUCUGUGAACAAUCAGACACGUCUGCCACGAGGGUGAGAGGGACGGUGCGAGCAUGCAUGUCAGGUAACCUCCGCUUUUCAUAUGAAGCCCGUGUUUUCAUCUCUUAAUCCUUUCUCUGUGUCACCUGCUGCUGGACUCUCCGUGGGAUAAUGACAAAAGCAUGGUUCGCUGUUAUUAUUGGUGUACGUGUUCUUUCAUGAUUAGAAAAAUCCCUGGCAUUUGGAAAUGUUGCAAUUUAUUUAUUUAUUUUUUUCAACGUUUAUUUAUUUUUGGGACAGAGAGAGACAGAGCAUGAACGGGGGAGGGGCAGAGAGAGAGGGAGACACAGAAUCGGAAACAGCCUCCAGGCUCUGAACCAUCAGCCCAGAGCCUGACGCGGGGCUCGAACUCCCGGACCGCGAGAUCGUGACCUGGCUGAAGUCGGACGCUUAACCGACUGCGCCACCCAGGCGCCCCAAAUGUUGCAAUUUAGAGCACAGCCAGCUCCAUGGUCCCACUGAGUCUCAGUGACUGUGGGGUGAGCUCGGGCAGGGGUUAGUUCCGGUUGCACAGGAAGGAAGAUUGAAGCUCAGAAAACAUACCUAUUGUGAGGACCGUCUGUCAUUCUGUUUUGUGACUGGAUGUCUGCCUGCGAUAUUAUUCCAUAAAGAUUCACCCUCCUGGAAUAUUUUAAGUCUUAAGGCUCAGCUCAAAACUAAAACCUCCUUCCUUAUUACCAUACUGCUUGGCAUGGCGAAGUACAUUUAACAGGAGUCUAGAAAAUUCUGCCUAUCAAGAAAGCAAAUAUGCAAGACGUGCUGGGUGUGUGACUGACAGGAGGUCUGGCCGGGGCUGGGCCUCUUUGCCUUCUCCUACUUUGGUGUCAUCAUAACAACAACAAAAAAGUAACUUCUGGCAUUUUUCAGGAACAGCAGUCCCCCAUAUUUAGGUGAUUUUUGCAGCUAACGAGGCAUUCCUAUGCCCGAUCUCCUUCAUUGCCACAGCCUCUGUGGGAGGUAUUGGUAUUAUUUCCUAGAAUGGUUACGUGCAUGCAUCAGGUGGGUUGGGCUGUACCAGACGUUUGGUCAAAUGCAAGUCCGGAUGUUGCUGUGAAGGUAGUUUGGGGACGAGAUUAACAUUUAAAUCAGCAGACUUUGAGUAAAGCAGAUUGUCCUCCAUGCGGAUGGGGCUUGCCCAAUCAGUUGAAGGCCUUAAGAAAAAACAGGCUGGCUUCCCUUGAAGAAGAGGGGAUUUUGCCUCCGGACUGUCUUUAUAUUUAAGUUGCAAUGGCAUCUCUUCUCUGGGUCCUGCCCGCUGGCCUACCCUGAAGAUUUUGGACUUGCAGGCCACCACACUUCGGUGAGCCAAUUCCUUAAAAUCUCUCUCUCUCUGUCUCUCGCUCUCUCCCCCUCCUCUCUCUAUAUAUUAUAAAUUUAUAAAUUAUUUAAAAAUUAUAUUCUUAAUAAUUUUAUAAAUAAUAUACAAAAUCACCUGUAACCUUCCCCUACUCCAGGACAACUAGUUUUCAUAUUUUGAAGCAUUGCCUUCUGGUGCUUUACGGUCCAUCUGUCCUUUCCCAUGUGACCAAUCUCAUGAUCUCGGUUGGAUAGCAGUAACAACAACAACUAACAACAGCUACAUUUCUUAAUCGCUGGCCGCAUCUCAGGUCCUGUUUCAAGUGCUAUACGGGUGUUAGUGAAUUUCACGCGGACACGACCUCAUGAGGUAGGUGCUGUUAAUAUCACGGGCAUUUCAGGGCGCCUGGGUGGCUCAGUCGGUUAAGCGUCCGACUUCGGCUCAGGUCAUGAUCUUGCGGUCUGAGUUCAAGCCCCACGUCAGGCUCUGUGCUGACAACUCAGAGCCUGGAGCCUGCUUCAG